rnacentral:rRNA from 1 species
CGAACGGGUGCGUAACACGUGAGCAACCUACCUAGGUGUGGGGGGAUAGCCGGCCCAACGGCCGGGUAAUACCGCAUACGCUCUUCUUUAGGCAUUUAGAGGAGAGGAAACCUUCGGGGCACUAUGAGGGGCUCGCGGCCUAUCAGCUAGUUGGCGAGGUAAUGGCUCACCAAGGCGACGACGGGUAGCUGGUCUGAGAGGAUGGCCAGCCACAUUGGGACUGAGAAACGGCCCAG